CCGGGCAGCUCGAGCGCGUGCGGGCGGCGGCCGGCCUCUGCUCUUCCGUGAGGAGAGCGCGGUACUGUACAGCGAAUUCAAACUUGAACGGAAUCCCAGUCCUGGGUAUGGCAUCUGGCAUCUUAAGUGGCCACCUAAAGAGCUGGAUGACACAGUCCGGAAGUGUGGUGUGCUAAUUCCCAUGGAACAAACUUUGAUCACUGGGAAACUGAAGAUGGGAGGGAGAAAAUGCGUCAUGGUUCCAGCAUUUGUUUGAGGAUCUAUGUUACAUCUCACAUCAAUUUUUGUUCAUGGAGUGAGAAAGUCCUCAGACUCAGGGUUCAUUUUGCGUGGCUACCUCCAGAACACGUGAGCACCACUGGAUGCCAGAAAGUGGAUUUUCUCUCAGGCUUUCCCCAGAGACAAAGCUGUUGGCCAUGAAAGCAAGAUGAAGAAGAUCCUUGGGCCUGUACAAAUUUGGGAAAAAGAGUCACCCUAUUAGGACUUCCCUGGUGGUGCAGUGGUUGGGAAUCUGCCGGCCAAUUCAGGGGACACAGGUUCGAGCCCUGGUCCGGGAAGAUCCCACAUGCCACCGAGCAGCUAAGCCCAUGCGCCACAACUACUGAGCCUGUGUUCUAGAGCCUGUGAGCCACAACUACUGAGCCCACACGUCACAACUACUGAAACCUGCGUGCCUGGAGCCCGUGUUCCGCAACAAGAGAAACCACUACAAUGAGAGGCCCACACACCUCAAUGGGGAGUGGCCCCUGCUCGCUGCAACUAGAGAAAGCCCGCACACAGCAAAGACCCAAAGCAGCCAAAAAUAAAUACAUUUAUU